rnacentral:snRNA from 1 species
GAUUGUAAGAGCCACAGGUUGAGACAUCAUGCCCAGAGGCAUUCUCAGCUGAUCUGGCUGGCUAGGUGAGUGUCCCCUUCCUCCCUCACCACUCCAUGUGCAUCCCUCCCAAAGCUGUGUGUUUGGGAAGAGGACAACCUUCCCCAAGCAGAGGAGGACUGGCCUUUGGUCAAGGGGAGAUGAGUAGCAGCGCUGCCUUGAUAGAACCUCCAAACACGCUCUCAAGAGUGGUGUGACACAAGCUAGUGGUUCCAGAAAGUUCUCUGAGGAGAACUACCAGAGGUCAUGGU